rnacentral:rRNA from 1 species
GAUGAACGCUGGCGGCGUGCUUAACACAUGCAAGUCGAACGGGAAACCUUUUAUUGAAGCUUCGGCAGAUUUAGCUGGUUUCUAGUGGCGGACGGGUGAGUAACGCGUGGGUAACCUGCCCUAUACAGGGGGAUAACAACCAGAAAUGGUUGCUAAUACCGCAUAAGCGCACAGGGCCGCAUGGUCCGGUGUAAAAAACUCCGGUGGUAUAGGAUGGACCCGCGUUGGAUUAGCCAGUUGGCAGGGUAACGGCCUACCAAAGCGACGAUCCAUAGCCGGCCUGAGAGGGUGAACGGCCACAUUGGGACUGAGACACGGCCCAGACUCCUACGGGAGGCAGCAGUGGGGAAUAUUGCACAAUGGGGGAAACCCUGAUGCAGCGACGCCGCGUGAAGGAAGAAGUAUCUCGGUAUGUAAACUUCUAUCAGCAGGGAAGAUAGUGACGGUACCUGACUAAGAAGCCCCGGCUAACUACGUG